rnacentral:tRNA from 1 species
GAAGAAAUGGCUGAGUGGUUAAAGGCGAUAGACUGUAAAUCUAUUGAAUUUAUUCUUCGUUGGUUCGAAUCCAACUUUCUUCA